GAGGGUUUAGCUUAAUUAAAGUGUUUGAUUUGCAUUCACUUGAUGUAGGAUGAAGUCCUGCAGUCCUUA
rnacentral:tRNA from 1 species